rnacentral:rRNA from 1 species
AUCUUGCGCAAUGGCCGAAAGGCUGACGCAGCGACGCCGCGUGCGGGAGGACGCCCUUCGGGGUGUAAACCGCUGUCAGCGGGGACGAACCCUCUGGAGAGGAAAUGCUUCAGAGCUGACGGUACCCGCAGAGGAAGCACCGGCUAACUCCGUGCCAGCAGUCGCGGUAAUACGGAGGGUGCGAGCGUUGUUCGGAAUUAUUGGGCGUAAAGCGCACGUAGGUGGCUCCUUAAGUCUCACGGUGAAAGGCCGGGGCUCAACCCCGCGCUGGCCGGGGAUACUGGGGAGCUAGAGACAGGUAGAGGCGAGUGGAAUUCCGGGUGUAGCGGUGGAAUGCGUAGAGAUCCGGAAGAACACCAGAGGCGAAGGCGGCUCGCUGGCCCUGAUCUGACACUGAGGUGCGAAAGCGUGGGGAGCGAACAGG